GGGCUUGUGGCGUAGUGGUAACGCGUUCGCUUUGCAUUCAUUCAGCAAUAUGCGAAAGAUCCGGUGUUCGAUCCACCGCUGGUCCA